CUGCACAUGCCAGGGUGAGGUAGUAAGUUGUAUUGUUGUGGGAUAGGGAUUUUAGAGCCCAAUAAGAAGAUAACUAUACAACUUACUACUUUCCUUGGUGUGGUGCAU
ensembl:miRNA Mir98 microRNA 98